rnacentral:rRNA from 1 species
UAGUCCACGCCGUAAACGAUGAUCACUAGACGUCAGUCUCGUUUUACGAGAUUGGUGUCGUAGCUAACGCGUUAAGUGAUCCGCCUGGGGACUACGAUCGCAAGAUUAAAACUCAAAGGAAUUGACGGGGGUCCGCACAAGCGGUGGAACAUGUGGUUUAAUUCGACACUACGCGAGGAACCUUACCUAGGUUUGACAUGCAUUCGACAGUCGUAGAGAUACGAUCUUUCAGGCUUCGGUCUGGACGGAUGCACAGGUGCUGCAUGGCUGUCGUCAGCUCGUGUCGUGAGAUGUUGGGUUAAGUCCUCUAACGAGCGCAACUCCUACCGUUAGUUGCUACUUUUUAAGGCACUCUAACGGAACUGCCUGGGAAACCAGGAGGAAGGUGGGAAUGACGUCAAGUCAUCAUGGUCCUUAUGCCUAGGGCUACACACGUGUUACAAUGGCCAGUACAAAGGGUUGCCAGCCUGCAAAGGUGAGCUAAUCCCAAAAAGCUGGUCUAAGUUCGG